rnacentral:RNase_P_RNA from 1 species
CCAGUCGGCUGGGCGACCGCUGCCGUCAGAUGUCGAAAGACGACGGGGGAGGAAAGUCCGGGCUCCACGGAGAAACGGUGCCGGGUAACGCCCGGCGGGGGUGACCCCAGGGACAGUGCCACAGAAAAUAAACCGCCCCGCCUGCGGUUGCGCUUCGACCGGACGCGGCAUGGGACACCGUCCCACCGUCCAUGGGAUCGACUCCCACGUCGAUAGAAACGGUGCGCAAGCGCAAGCGCCGGCGGGGUAAGGGUGAAACGGUGGGGUAAGAGCCCACCGCGCUUCCGGCAACGGCGGCGGCAGGGCAAACCCCACCGGGAGCAAGACCGAAUAGGGACGACGUGGCGGGCAACCGCCAGCCUUUCUCCGGGCCGGUCGUCCGGGUGGGUUGCUCGAGGCCAUGUGCGAGCAUGGUCCCAGAGGAAUGGUCGCCCGGCAGUUCGCUGCCGACAGAACCCGGCUUACAGGCCGACUGGCAUU